CCUUCCAUCACUGAAUUAGAAAUUCAGAUAGUCUGGUACCAAAGUACAGUGAGUUGCUUGCUAAUCACUGUGGUGAUCUCAGGUCUGAGUGAUACUUAUAUCCAUAUCCACUCGGAAAAUCUCUCGACAGUAGAGUGUUCCGAAAUUGGUCAUGUUUAGUGAAAUGUACUCCUGCACUUCACCUGUGUGAUAUAUCAGUGUCUCCACACUCCUUGGUUAAGAGGACAACCAACGUAUAU
rnacentral:lncRNA from 1 species